CACUAUGCUCAGCCCUAAAAUUCGAUAGGUCACUACGCCCCCUAUCCGCCCGGGUACUACGAGCAUCAGCUUGAAACCCAAAGGACUUGGCGGUGCUUCACAUCCGUCUAGAGGAGCCUGUCCUGUAACCGAUAACCCCCGUUAAACCUCACCCUCCCUUGUUAAUCCCGCCUAUAUACCGCCGUCGUCAGCCUACCCUGUGAAGGACUAGUAGUGAGCAAGAUUGGUAAAACCCAAAACGUCAGGUCGAGGUGUAGUAAAUGAGAGGGGAAGAGAUGGGCUACAUUUCCUGCAUCAGGAAAUACGAACAAUGAACUGAAAUAAGCAUUAGAAGGUGGAUUUAGCAGUAAGCAGAUAAACAGAGUGUUCUGCUGAAGUUAAUGGCAAUAAAGCACGUACAUAUCGCCCGUCACUCUCCCCGAGCCUAACGUAUUUGAAUAUACCUAAAAAACCACACCUGCAAAGGGGAGGCAAGUCGUAA
rnacentral:rRNA from 2 species